GGGGUUGUGGCUCAGUGGUAGAGCGCUCAACUGGCAUGUGUGAGGCACUGGGUUGGAUCCUCAGCACCACA
rnacentral:tRNA from 1 species